GUAGACAAGAUGAGCGUUGAGGACACGCGCCAAACCAGAGCAUGUAAAAAGAGGGAGGAGCAUAAACCACAAUAACCUGAAAAAUAAGGAACGGUGACUGCUCUCUCUCUCUCUCUCUCUCUCUCUCUCUCUCUGUGCCUGACGUCUAAUUUUUUGCCUUGCUUAUCAAGUCAAUUAAAAAGCCCUACCGCCCUCUUCUCUCUCAAACCGACCACCCAAACCACUACUUCUCUAUUCUCUACCCAACCCACUAACCACAGAAAUCCCAUGAAGAUAAAGAACAAAGGUAAAGUAUACCCAUCU
rnacentral:misc_RNA from 1 species